UACGAAGGGGGCUAGCGUUGCUCGGAAUCACUGGGCGUAAAGCGCACGUAGGCGGCUUCUUAAGUCAGGGGUGAAAUCCCGGGGCUCAACCCCGGAACUGCCUUUGAUACUGGUAGUCUCGAGUCCGGAAGAGGUGAGUGGAAUUCCGAGUGUAGAGGUGAAAUUCGUAGAUAUUCGGAGGAACACCAGUGGCGAAGGCGGCUCACUGGUCCGGUACUGACGCUGAGGUGCGAAAGCGUGGGGAGCAAACAGG
rnacentral:rRNA from 1 species